UCUGGUGAUGAUGGCGAGAAGGUAACACCCGUUCCCAUUCCGAACACGCAAGUUAAGCUUCUCAGCGCCGAUGGUACUGCUCGGGAGACCGAGUGGAAGAGUAGGACGUUGCCAGGU
rfam:Clostridium sp. TSBA 49 genome assembly, contig: Ga0111601_115